GACGAACGCUGGCGGCAUGCCUAACACAUGCAAGUCGAACGAGACCUUCGGGUCUAGUGGCGCACGGGUGCGUAACGCGUGGGAAUCUACCCUUGGGUUCGGAAUAACUCAGAGAAAUUUGAGCUAAUACCGGAUGAUGACGUAAGUCCAAAGAUUUAUCGCCCAAGGAUGAGCCCGCGUAGGAUUAGCUAGUUGGUGAGGUAAAGGCUCACCAAGGCGACGAUCCUUAGCUGGUCUGAGAGGAUGAUCAGCCACACUGGGACUGAGACACGGCCCAGACUCCUACGGGAGGCAGCAGUGGGGAAUAUUGGACAAUGGGCGAAAGCCUGAUCCAGCAAUGCCGCGUGAGUGAUGAAGGCCUUAGGGUUGUAAAGCUCUUUUACCCGGGAUGAUAAUGACAGUACCGGGAGAAUAAGCUCCGGCUAACUCCGUGCCAGCAGCCGCCGUAACAC
rnacentral:rRNA from 1 species